CGGUCUCUUCUCUUUAUGGGCAAACGGCUCCCCUCGGCGAAGAGCCUCGAGGAGUUCGCCCGUGUCGCCACCGAGAGGAUUAGGAGGGGGAAGCACCGGAAGCCCGCCCUCAGAUCGCUGGCUUCGAGCAAGGAGGCCGCUUCUGUCGCCCGGGCGACCGCCGAGGGUCCGCGCCCGGCGGCGCACAGCAUGGAGAACGGGGAGCGGGAGGAGCGCCGCGUUCCCUUGUCGGAGGUGGUGUCAGACUGCGUGAGGCGGUGGUUCCAGGACGCGCUCAGGGAGGCGAAGAACGGGGACGCGGCGAUGCAGGUGCUGGUGGGCCAGAUGUACCACAGCGGCUACGGCUGUCCGCGGAACGAACAGAAGGGAAAAGCUUGGAUCGCAAAAGCAUCAAAGUAUCGAUCGACUGUUUGGAAGGUUAGCGACAAGCAUCCAGGCUAUAAUGCUAGUGACUCGGAUUCCGAUGAGGUGAAGGAUGAUGUCAAUUGAUGAACACAGGCAAUUUGACUCUACGACAAAUAUGAGAGAAUUGACGCUGACUGCCACAUGGAGAAACUUCUACUGAUGAUCAUAUUAUCAACUGUGGCUCUUGUGUAAUCAUCAUCCGGUUGCCAAUAGAAGCACUUACAUUAUGUAAAAAACAAAAAACGUGACCUACCACAAUGGUGACCACCCAUGCCUGGGUUUGUUGGCUGCAAGUGUAUGCCUGUUCUGUGGCUGUAGAAUUCCAGAUCUGCUGUUUUUGAGUUAAUCCAGUGUGUAUCAGUCAGUAUGCUCCCGCUACGUAAACAGAAUUCUUUUACAGAUCAUAAUCAACUUGUGCUGUUGUGAUCAUCUUCUGAUAUCCCUUUUUGGAUACCGAGAUGUUAUACUUCAUCUCAUUUUUGGUGAAUAAACAAACUUUUUUCUUUUAAGCUGUCAAA